rnacentral:rRNA from 1 species
UACGUAGGGUGCGAGCGUUGUCCGGAUUUAUUGGGCGUAAAGAGCUUGUAGGCGGCUCGUCGCGUCGGGUGUGAAAACUUGCGGCUUAACCGCAAGUCUGCACCCGAUACGGGCGGGCUAGAGUUCGGCAGGGGAGACUGGAAUUCCUGGUGUAGCGGUGGAAUGCGCAGAUAUCAGGAGGAACACCGGUGGCGAAGGCGGGUCUCUGGGCCGAUACUGACGCUGAGAAGCGAAAGCGUGGGGAGCGAACAGG